rnacentral:rRNA from 1 species
GUGUCAGCCGCCGCGGUAAUACGGGCCGGACAAACGUUAUUCGGAAUCACUGGGCUUAAAGAGUGCGUAGGCGGCCAGGCAAGUUGGGUGUGAAAUCCCUCGGCUCAACCGAGGAAUGGCGCUCAAAACUGCAUGGCUUGAGGAAGACAGGGGUGAGCGGAACUGAUGGUGGAGCGGUGAAAUGCGUUGAUAUCAUCAGGAACACCGGUGGCGAAGGCGGCUCACUGGGUCUUUUCUGACGCUGAGGUACGAAAGCUAGGGUAGCGAACGGGAUUAGAUACCCCGGUAGUCCUAGCUGUAAACGAUGAGCACUAGUUCGAGGAGAUCUCCACGUCUUCUUGGACGUAGCGAAAGUGUUAAGUGCUCCGCCUGGGGAGUAUGGUCGCAAGGCUGAA